AGCUGCUGCAGCUCAUAAUAACUCAACAGUGCAGCUAUGACAGCUCUGCUCAUGUCAGUGCUGCUGACUGCCAUGUGCUUUGAGUGCAGGGCACAAAAAGACAAUGUGCUGCAACCAAAAGCAGAUGUGACUGCUACUGAAGGAGAGGCAGUGACUCUUGGCUGUGAAUAUAACACCAGUCAAACAACUCCAUAUCUGUACUGGUACAAACAGGACGUCAGCGACAGGCCCAGAUUCAUCCUGAGUCGCUCCAAGUUUUCCUUGGAGAAAACAGAGGAUGGUGUGAAGGACAGAUUUAAAUCCAGGCUGAAUUCCACCUUAAGAUCAAUUCCUCUGACCAUCGUGGAGCUGCAGCCGUCUGACUCUGCUGUGUACUACUGUGCUCUGCAGCCCACAAGUCCGAGGUUUUUGCAGGUGUUCAGAGGUCUGAUGGCGGUUGGGUAG